rnacentral:tRNA from 1 species
CAGUGGCUUAGCUGGAUAGAGCACUCGGCUACGAACCGAGAGGUCGGGGGUUCGAAUCCCUCCUGGUGC